ACGCUUCUCUUUUAAUCAUAUAUAUGUAUCGAUGAUAUAAAUAGCGAAUGCAGUAAUUCGUGUUAAUUGCUUCAUUUUGACUAUUCAUAUGAAGUAAUCUUUAAAUGAUUGAAUAUCUUUGUUUAUUCUACAGAGUCAUCUAUAUGCCUGUUAGAUAGAUAAGGAUUAUUAAACGGUGCAUUCCGAAUGAAUAAAUUGUUCCUGGGAUUAGUAUUAGUUUCCCUAUUUUUGUCAAUAGAAUAAGUUAGUUGCCUAUCAUCAAAAGCAAACUAUUCAUCACCCAUCCAUCCCUUUUAUUCAUUAUCGGGAAACUGGUCCUGUUAUCUCCAGUCAGAGCCACCAUCCCAAACGGAAAAGGAGCUGUACUAAGGUCCGGACCGGGUGGUUAUCCCCCAAUGUUGUUGCAGCAAUUUUCGAGGCAUCAACAUAGCCAUACUGACGUGCAAAUCGUUCAUCUAACUUGGGUAUAGGGGUGAAAUACUAAUGGAACCAUCUAGUAGCUAGUUUCCUCUGAAGUUUCCCUCAAGAUAGCUAGAGCUCACGCGCGAGUUUUAUCAGGCAAAGCAAAUGAUUAGAGGCAUCGGGGGCAUAACACUCUCGACCUAAUCUCUAACUUUAAAUAGGUAAGAGGGUGUGACUGCUCCAUUGAGCCGUGUCGUGGAAUCGAAAGCUCCAAGUGGGCCAUUUUUGGUAAGCAAAACUGGCGAUGUGGGAUGAACCGAAAGUCGAGUUACGGUGCCAAAUUGUGCACUAACCUAGAUCCCACAAAGGGUGUUGGUUGAUUAAGACAACAAGAUUUUGGUCAUGGAUGUCGAAAUCCACUAAGGAGUGUGUAACAUCUCACCUGCCGAAUCAAGUAGCCCCAAAAAUGGAUGGCGAUGAAGCGCGCAACCUAUACUCGACUGUCAGAGCAAUUGCCUAGCUCCGAUGAGUAGGAGGAUGCGUGGGUCGUUGAGAAACCUCGUGCGUGAGCUUGGGUAGAUCGACCCCCGGUGCAGAUCUUGGUGGUAGUAGCAAAUAUUCAAAUGACAACUUUGAAGACUAAAGUGGGGAAAGUUUCCAUGUGAACAACACUUGGACAUGGGUUAGUCGAUCCUAAGAGAUGGGGAAGCAUUGUAUUAAGAGUGCACUCUGCACGAGCAUCGAAAGAGUAUCGGGUUAAUAUUCCUCAACUGGGACAUGGUGGCGGGUGGAAAUGUUAGGUAAUCCGGAGAUGUCAUUGGGGGCCUCAGAAAGAGUUAUCUUUUCUUUUUAGCAUCUUGCCCACCCUGGAAUUGGUUCACCCGGAUAUAGGGUCCAGCAGCUGGAAGAGCACUGCACAUCUUGCAAUGCCUGGUGCGCCCUCGACGAACCUUGAAAAUUUGGAGGACCGAGUACUGUUCAUGCGCGGUUGUACUCAUAACCGCAUCAGGUCUCGAAGGUGAACAACCUCUGGUCAAUAGAACAAUGUAGGUAAGGGAAGUCAGAAAAAUGGAUCUGUAACUUUGGGAAAAGGAUUGCCUCUAAGGGUUGGGCCUAGGGGUCUGCGCCCUCAACUCGUGGGUUGUCGGCAGUCUGCCCGAGUUGCUCUCAUAGUGAGGGUCGGUAGUUGCGUGUCGAUUGGGCUAUAGGCAUAGAAUGCCCCUUACUGGGGGAUUUUCCUUAGGCAUUGAACAGUCGACUCAGAACUGGUACGGACAAGGGGAAUCCAACUAUUUAAUUAAAACAAAGCAUUGUGAUGGUCCCUUCGGAUGCUGGCGAAAUGUGAUUUCUUCCUAGUGCUCUGAAUGUCAAAGUGAAUAAAUUCAACCAAGCGCGGGUAAACGACAGGAGUAACUAUGAAUCUCUUAAGGUAUCCAAAUGCCUCGUCAUCUAAUUAGUGAAUCACAUGAAUGGAUUAAAGAGAUUCCCACUGUCCCUAUCUACUAUCUAGCGAAAACACAGCCAAGGGAAUGGGCUUGGUAGAAUCAGCGGGGAAAGAAGACCCUGUUGAGCUUGAUUCUAGUCCAACUUUGUGAAAUGACUUGAGAGGUGUAGAAUAAGUGGGAGCCAUUUUCGGCGCAAGUGAAAUACCACUACUUUUAACGUUAUUUUACUUAUUCCGUGGGGCAGAGAAGGGGCACUGCCCCUGUUUUUUUCCUUAAGGCACGCUUCGGCGGGUCGAUCCAGGCAGAAGAUAUUGAUAGGUGGGGAGUUUGGAUGGGGCGGCACAUCUGUUAAAAGAUAACACAGGUGUCCUAAGAUGAGCUCAAUGAGAAUAGAAAUCUCGUGUGGAACAAAAGGGUAAAAACUCAUUUUAUUUUUAUUUUCAGUACGAAUACAAACCGUGAAAGCGCAGCCUAUCGAUCCUUUAGAUUUUUGGAAUUUGAAGCUAGAGGUGUCAGAAAAGUUACCACAGGGAUAACUGGCUUGUGGCAGCCAAGCGUUCAUAGUGACAUUACUUUUUGAUCCUUCGAUGUUGGCUCUUCCUAUCAUUAUGAAGCAGAAUUCACCAAGUGUUGGAUUGUUCACCCUCCAAUAGGGAACGUGAGCUAGGUUUAGACCAUUGUGAGACAGGUUAGUUUUACCCUACUGAUGAACCACACUGCAAUAUUAAUUCAACUUAGUAUGGGAGGAACCGUUGAUUCACACAAUUGAUCAUCGCGCUUGGCUGAAAAGCCAGUGGCGCGAAGCUACCGUGUGUUGGAUUAUGACUGAAUGCCUCUAAGUCAGAAUCCACGCUCGAAGCAGUGCAUGUCACUCUUCUACUGUAUCUCGACCCGAAGUAGGGGCAUUGCUUUGUCGCCCCCAGGGGCCCGUGUCAUUCGCAAACUGCGACCGUGAAGCAUCUCGAUCGGGGCAACUUUGAAGUUCAAUUCCAAAUGGUCAUUAAGAAGAAUCCUUUGCAGACGACUUGAAUAUGCGACAGGGUAUGUAAGUGGCAGAGUGACCUUGCUGCCAUGAUGCACUGAGAUUCAGCCCUUGGUCACCUCGAUUUAUAGCUUCACUCUU
rnacentral:rRNA from 1 species